UGUCACAAGUGGCUAUGGGCUCACUACC
rnacentral:piRNA from 1 species